AUUGACGUUUGGUGCUCCCUCUCCUAAUAAUAUCUGAGAUGGCGCUCCACUUCCUCUCCCCACGAUCUCCACAAGUAACUGACGGAUUUCUGUUUAAAGUUUGUGCUCUGCCUCAACUUAUUUGCAAUCGUCCUCCAGCUUGAAUAGGUGUUCAAGUCGCCUUCACCAACAUCAAUAUCCAAUCUAGUAUCGCUCUGUGCAAAGAUGCUAAAAGUCCUGUCAGUAGGGGCUAUUAGCUUUUCGUUGAUGCACAUAACUCUUGCUGAUCGAAUUGUGCAAGUAUGCUGGAGGAUUUCCGCCAACGCCAAGGAUCUAGGACGAUUUGGUGAGUACUGUGGCUGCUCAUGCUAACACAAAUUCCCUGCAGGGUGCCUCAAACGUGCCUGUUGGCACCCUGUUACAGCAGUCCUGCCAUGACCACCUGUUUGAUUGUUCGUUCAGCUCGGUUUUUCCUUUCAUCUUCUCUUUAUCUUUAAAGAUUAAUUGACUGAACACACCAUGUGUUUUCUACCAUAUGCAUAGAUGAGUUGAUUCGCCCAAUUUACUUAUAUUUCAUAUGGAAAGGAGCAUCAUUGGUUAUUCAGAUUGUUACUCAUGUCACACUCUCUAUAAUACAUCAGUUGAAUCACACUAAAUGCCAAUGGUUUUGUUAUCUUGGCCAGAGUUACACAUCACGAUUUUCCCUACCUCAAUGUUUCACGGAUUUAGGGAACUGUUCUUGGGUACUGGGAGCAGUGCAAGGGAUUUUCCAGAAUGUCCGUAUAAUAAUACAAAAUUUAUUGGGUUUCCUGGCAUAUAAUUUUUUGAAUAUUUUGAUUGGUAGUCUAACAUUAUCUCAUUUGGUUGAUACUGCAAAUCCCAACUAUGGAUACAUUAUCACACUUUUCGUGUGCUUUCACUAAUUUCUUAUUAGUUGCCCUUUAGUUUUCUCAGAAGUAAGGGAUGCUAAAUAGAAAAGUCACUUGCUAUUCUUUGUUGAUUUUGCCUUUGCUCAUAAACUACUUUUUUAUGUUGCACAUAUCUAUCCAGCAAUUGACUAUUAAGAAGAUGUUCCGUAACAUAUACAAACAUAUACAACAAUGUCUGUGUGAGGACAAUCCUUAGGCUUUGAUCGCCGGCCCCCUCGCCUCCGGUGGCUCUCCAGCUCCCGCACGACUACCAGUCCGCAUCGUCUCCGGCGGCUUUUCGGGAUAUCGCGGGAUGUGAUACCGUUGGCGGUGAACCGGCUCUGACCGUCGCCCCCCUUGCCUUCGAUGACUCUCCCGGUCUGGCAUGUCUGCCGGUGCACCUUGCCCAUGGUGCUGAUUUGUCUUUCGUACUCUCCUAAUGAUGCGGAGCAUCCCAAGGUCAUCCCCAUGGACCUACCUACGUCUCCUACGACACCACUUGGACCAAUGACAAGAGCCCAAGCAAAGGCUAUAGAAGAUAAGGUGAACUCGCUCCUCUCCGAACUUCCACUUCCUACUUAUGAGACAUGGCUACUACCUCAUGCGGAGACCCUAUGUGUGAUCAGGUACUUGGAGGAAAGCCACAGAUCAGCUACAUCCAACGGACAAGACGGCGAGGACACCAAGUUCAAUGGACAAGAAGAAGUGCAGCCUGAAAGUCCCCAGCCGUUGGACGACCGACCCCGACCAGAUGACCGAAGCCUGGAGCAUCCACCAACCGACCAAGUCUCAGCAAGAAGAUGUCCCAGCGCCCGGACGACUGACGCCUACCGGAUGUCCGACGCACUCCAGGUCCUAGGGGACCGACCCCCUCCGGACGUCCGGCGCCACCACACCCGAGCCAAAACGUCGGAAGUAUGGAGACCUCCGGAUGACCGACGCACCGGACAUCCGACCCCGACCGGUCGACCGACCAAGCGCCAACAGAGCCAAAACAGCGGACGAUCGAUCCUGACCGGACGUCCGACCCUCCGCGAGCCACUGGACGACCGAUGAUGGUCGGACAUCCGACACCGUAUGCCGCCCGCGUGUUGGGCCGAAGCCCACUUACCCUUUUGUGACUCUAGACUAUAAAUAGACAUCCUCCUCCCUCUUUCUAGGGUUAGCUUUGUGUUAGCUCAUAUGUGAGAUAGAGCUUCGCUCAUCCAUCCGGAUCUACUCCAUCGCGAGGGACCGUCACCUCUUCGGAGAAGAUCCACUUGGAUUCAAGACCCCUAACGGGAAGACCUCAAGACCUCCUCU